rnacentral:lncRNA from 1 species
UAUUUUGGAUUGGGGUAUCACAAUAUGAUACAGCACCCUUCUCUUUGAUAGAGUUACUUUUGUUAUUGUAUGUCAUAAAAAAAAAAUCUUGAUUCAAUCACAAUUUCAUUUUGUAAUAACCUAAUCCAUAAGGAACUAGGGCCGGCCCACUUGAUUGGCUUGGAACCUGGAAUAACUUGGACUAGAUGGGCCCUUUUGGGCUAUUCAUGUGUGAUGCAUGUGGUAGGGAGGAAGACUCUAGAUCAGACUCCUCAUCCCGGAUUA